UAACAACCAAUUUUGAGACGUUUAUUAAAUGUCUGGAAGGAUUUUGUCUUUUAAAGGUGUUUAAACCGUCUGAAUGGAUCGAUUGUUUCCACAGGACAGUAUCGGCUCGUUUGCCCGACUCCACCGAUCAAGGCUGCAGCAGGUGACAGGGCUGUUACUGAGUGUCAUGUGGAUCCUCCAGUCAACUUGAAGACUAAGACAGUGGAGUUCAGUAAAGUCGACCCCUAUGAGGUGCUCCUCAUCCAUCGAUCUGGAGAGAUUGAUCCUGAUCAGAGCAGCAGCAGGAUAAGUCUCAGUGAUGAAGACCUGAGAAGAGGAAUCGUGAAACUACAGAUCUCCCCAGUGCAGCUGUCUGACAGUGGACUCUACAAGAUCCAUAUCCCACAACUGAAGGCCAACUGUACCUUUAACCUCAGUGUUGUAAAACCUGAGGCACCAGACAGGAUAGAGGAUGAUAACAACAGUACGACAACACCUCCAGUGGAAAACCAGCCUGGU
ensembl:lncRNA